ACAGUCGCAGUAGCAGUGGACGAGCAAGACGGAGCAAGUGUGCCGGGCACACUCCUGGGCCUGCCACGUGCCAUCCGACAGUCACCUUGUCAUCCACGCGCCCCACAAAGCUCAGCAUUCACACCCAGGAAGCCACCUCUUCCGAGUGUCCCUGUAGAGACCCAGCUGGCGGGUGACUAUAAAAACCACCUCGCAGGACUCGGCCGCCCCUCCCGACGAGGGCGCAAGUGUUGGUAAAGAGGAUGGGUCAGAUGCUUACAAAACGAAAUGAUUGGGAAACUCGUCUUCCUUUUAAACCCUCAGCCUCUGCCAGGCCAAAACAAAACUCCUCAGGCCAAGAAGACUCCUUCCCCAUCUUCUGAGAAUAUUUCUUCCCAACCUUCUGGGGUGCAGUACGCAAGGGAAGGGCAUGAAAAAGUCAGGCUCAGGCAUCGCAGACAGCGAAGUAUUUGCCCCUGUUCACAGCUACUUUUUAUUCCUCCUUCAUUUUGGGGUUAUUUGGGUGGACGGGGUCGUAACAUUUUCUUGUAUUUCCCUUGAAACAACCCAGGAUGCUUUUUUUUUUUUUUUUUUUUUUUAAUACAGAGUAGGACUCUGCUUUGAUGUAAGACAGCUGGAAAUUCAUUCAGCAAGGGAGCGUUGACUGAACACCCACCGCGUGCCAGGAACUGCCCCAGGUGCUGGGGAGACACGCAGCAGCCAACAGAGACAUCGUUCCUCCAGCAUGGACCUCACACCCUGGUGAGUUAAAUCCAGUUCACUGGAUAAAAAUGUCUGCAACCAGCGUAAGAACAGCCCCGCGACUUCAUGGACAUUACUAUUCAGGAGGAGGCAAGAUGCAAGAAAUGAGGAAUCGGAGGCCCAGAGAAGGGAAGUGACCUGCUCCAGAGAAGGGAUUUGAACCCGGGUCCCUCACACUUGGAAGCCUGUCUGGGGAACAGAGAGAGGAACCCAGGGACACGGCCAAGCACAGCAGGUCAGAACGGAGUCCAGGUUCGGCCCUGCGCUCUGCUGCCCAGCAUCCUCAGCCAGAGCCGAGGCACCAGGGCGGGGCAGGAAAGAGCUGGGGCACAGAGGCCCCACGGAGUAGCCACGGAGCAAGUCUCUGGAGCAGAGCCAGGAACCCUGGCCAGCCGAGGCUGUGGGUGAGGCAUGGUGGUGACCGAACAGGUCUGUGGGGCCCUCCGCGGUCAUGCCCUCUGCAAGUAGUUCAUUCACUCU